UACAAGUCGGCUACUGGGGUAUUUGUUGUC
rnacentral:piRNA from 1 species